rnacentral:rRNA from 1 species
AAUCUGCCCUUAGGUUCGGAAUAACAGCGAGAAAUUGCUGCUAAUACCGGAUGAUGGCUUCGGCCCAAAGAUUUAUCGCCUAGGGAUGAGCCCGCGUAAGAUUAGGUAGUUGGUGUGGUAAAGGCGCACCAAGCCGACGAUCUUUAGCUGGUCUGAGAGGAUGAUCAGCCACACUGGGACUGAGACACGGCCCAGACUCCUACGGGAGGCAGCAGUGGGGAAUAUUGGACAAUGGGCGCAAGCCUGAUCCAGCAAUGCCGCGUGAGUGAUGAAGGCCUUAGGGUUGUAAAGCUCUUUUACCCGGGAUGAUAAUGACAGUACCGGGAGAAUAAGCUCCGGCUAACUCCGUGCCAGCAGCCGCGGUAAUAC